GGUGGCUCAGUGAUAGAGCGCUUGUCUUGCAUGCAUGAGGCCCUGGGUUCAAUUCCUCAGCACCA
rfam:Dipodomys ordii contig_34329, whole genome shotgun sequence.